AUUGAACGCUGGCGGCAGGCCUAACACAUGCAAGUCGAGCGGAGCGGCGGACGGGUGAGUAAUGCCUAGGAAUCUGCCUGGUAGUGGGGGAUAACGUCCGGAAACGGGCGCUAAUACCGCAUACUAUCAGAUGAGCCUAGGUCGGAUUAGCUAGUUGGUGGGGUAAAGGCCUACCAAGGCGACGAUCCGUAACUGGUCUGAGAGGAUGAUCAGUCACACUGGAACUGAGAACCGGUCCAGACUCCUACGGGGUGCAGCAGUGGGGAAUAUUGGACAAUGGGCGAAAGCCUGGUCCGGCAAUGCCGCGUGUGGGAAGAAGUUCUGCGGAUUAUAAAGCACUUUAAGUUGGGAGGCGUUACCAAGAGAAUAAGCCCCGGCUAACUCCGUGCCAGCAGCCGCGGUAAUUC
rnacentral:rRNA from 1 species